rnacentral:rRNA from 1 species
AUACGGAGGGGGCUAGCGUUGUUCGGAAUUACUGGGCGUAAAGCGCGUGUAGGCGGAUCGUUAAGUCAGGGGUGAAAGCCCGGGGCUCAACCCCGGAACUGCCCUUGAUACUGGCGAUCUAGAGUCCGGAAGAGGUGGGCGGAAUUCCCGGUGUAGAGGUGAAAUUCGUAGAUAUCGGGAGGAACACCAGUGGCGAAGGCGGCUCACUGGUCCGGUACUGACGCCGAGACGCGAAAGCGUGGGGAGCAAACAGGAUUAGAUACCCUGUAGUCC